rnacentral:rRNA from 1 species
CGAAGAGUAGGGCGGGACACGUGGUAUCCUGUCUGAAUAUGGGGGGACCAUCCUCCAAGGCUAAAUACUCCUGACUGACCGAUAGUGAACCAGUACCGUGAGGGAAAGGCGAAAAGAACCCCGGCGAGGGGAGUGAAAAAGAACCUGAAACCGUGUACGUACAAGCAGUGGGAGCACCUUCGGGUGUGACUGCGUACCUUUUGUAUAAUGGGUCAGCGACUUAUAUUCUGUAGCAAGGUUAACCGUAUAGGGGAGCCGCAGGGAAACCGAGUCUUAACUGGGCGUUAAGUUGCAGGGUAUAGACCCGAAACCCGGUGAUCUAGCCAUGGGCAGGUUGAAGGUUGGGUAACACUAACUGGAGGACCGAACCGACUAAUGUUGAAAAAUUAGCGGAUGACUUGUGGCUGGGGGUGAAAGGCCAAUCAAACCGGGAGAUAGCUGGUUCUCCCCGAAAGCUAUUUAGGUAGCGCCUCGUGAACUCAUCUUCGGGGGUAGAGCACUGUUUCGGCUAGGGGGUCAUCCCGACUUACCAACCCGAUGCAAACUACGAAUACCGAAGAAUGUUAUCACGGGAGACACACGGCGGGUGCUAACGUCCGUCGUGAAGAGGGAAACAACCCAGACCGCCAGCUAAGGUCCCAAAGUCAUGGUUAAGUGGGAAACGAUGUGGGAAGGCACAGACAGCCAGGAUGUUGGCUUAGAAGCAGCCAUCAUUUA